CACGUAGGGCGCAAGCGUUGUCCGGAAUUAUUGGGCGUAAAGAGCUCGUAGGCGGUCUGUUACGUCUGCUGUGAAAACCCGGGGGCUUAACCCUGGGCUUGCAGUGGAUACGGGCAGACUAGAGGCAGGUAGGGGAGAAUGGAAUUCCCGGUGUAGCGGUGAAAUGCGCAGAUAUCGGGAGGAACACCGGUGGCGAAGGCGGUUCUCUGGGGCCUGACCUGACGCUGAGGAGCGAAAGCGUGGGGAGCGAACAGG
rnacentral:rRNA from 1 species